GGAUUAAUACUUUCCAUGAAACACCUAGCAGGGAUUGGUUUCAAACUGAUGCAGUGUUGCGAGUUAGCUUGGGAAAUUUUCUCUUCUUCACCAUUCUAUCUGUAAUGAUGGUUGGUGUAAAAAGUCAAAGGGAUCCCCGGGAUAGUAUUCACCAUGGUGGAUGGAUGGUGAAAGUUAUUUGUUGGUUCCUUCUGGUGGUACUAAUGUUUUUCAUUCCCAAUGAGAUUAUUACCUUUUAUGAAUCUAUAUCAAAAUUUGGC
rnacentral:misc_RNA from 1 species